GAUGGGGUCGAUUAGCCAUGCUAGUUGCACGAGUUCAUACUCGUGGCGAAAAGCUCAGUAACACGUGGCCAAACUACCCUACAGAGAACGAUAACCUCGGGAAACUGAGGCUAAUAGUUCAUACGGGAGUCAUGCUGGAAUGCCGACUCCCCGAAACGCUCAGGCGCUGUAGGAUGUGGCUGCGGCCGAUUAGGUAGACGGUGGGGUAACGGCCCACCGUGCCGAUAAUCGGUACGGGUUGUGAGAGCAAGAGCCCGGAGACGGAAUCUGAGACAAGAUUCCGGGCCCUACGGGGCGCAGCAGGCGCGAAACCUUUACACUGCACGCAAGUGCGAUAAGGGGACCCCAAGUGCGAGGGCAUAUAGUCCUCGCUUUUCUCGACUGUAAGGCGGUCGAGGAAUAAGAGCUGGGCAAGACCGGUGCCAGCCGCCGCGGUAAUACCGGCAGCUCAAGUGAUGACCGAUAUUAUUGGGCCUAAAGCGUCCGUAGCCGGCCACGAAGGUUCAUCGGGAAAUCCGCCAGCUCAACUGGCGGGCGUCCGGUGAAAACCACGUGGCUUGGGACCGGAAGGCUCGAGGGGUACGUCCGGGGUAGGAGUGAAAUCCCGUAAUCCUGGACGGACCACCGAUGGCGAAAGCACCUCGAGAAGACGGAUCCGACGGUGAGGGACGAAAGCUAGGGUCUCGAACCGGAUUAGAUA
rnacentral:rRNA from 1 species